UACGGGGGGGCAAGCGUUGUUCGGAAUUACUGGGCGUAAAGGGCGUGUAGGUGGUUUGCGUAAGUCUGGCGUGAAAUAUCUCGGCUUAACCGAGGCAGGUCGUCGGAUACUGCGUAACUGGAGGACGGUAGAGGCGUGUGGAAUUCCGGGUGUAGUGGUGAAAUGCGUAGAGAUCCGGAGGAACACCAGUGGCGAAGGCGACACGCUGGGCCGUACCUGACACUGAUGCGCGACAGCAUGGGGAGCAAACAGG
rnacentral:rRNA from 1 species